rnacentral:sRNA from 1 species
UCUAGAUGCAAACGCAAUAGGACGGUC